GCCUAUGAUCUACAGUGCCCAUUCCAACUCAGAGAAUCUUUACAUCUGGAGAUCUAUAGCAGGGCUAUCCCUAGUGACAUGCGUGAAGAAGCUUGGAAAUGGUGCUGGGUAGGAGCUGAGUGUGCAGAAUGUGGAAAGGCAUUCUAAACCAAAGGAAGAACACGAGUAAAGAUGAUGAAGCAGGGAUAAGGCUAAAAUGAAAUUUGUGAUCUGAUCCACAUACAAGCACAGUGUAGUACAGCUGGAAUAUAGAGAAGAGCUUGAAGACUUAUGAGCAACUAUCCCGGUACUCUUGGAGGCUCUGCAACCACAGUUUGAGAAACUCCGCGUUCAAAGUUAAAAACUGUCACCUGAAUAGUUAAUAACAUCAAAGAUUGUGAAAGCAAGUAUAAAUAACACAGAGAUUAAAAUAAUGAGGCAGGAUCAGAAAGAUGACUGAAACCCACAGCAAACAAUCCUCAUGGAAUACAGCUCAGCUCAUCCUGAAGUAUAAGUGGGAGGUCAGUCUCACCGGAAAUUCGAUAUCUCCACAUGCAGCUGUCAUGCCACAUGGAAACAGUCAUGCAUAGGGUCCUGUCACCUGGUAGACUGACCCCAGGUCCACUGACCCCUGACAAUCAUCAACCGCUUCUGAGGGCUCCAUGAUUGAGAUUUGUCCCCAGGAACUCAGGGGAAACUAUAUAUUGAUUAAAAUGAACUAUCAAAAU
rnacentral:lncRNA from 1 species